rnacentral:rRNA from 1 species
CUAGUGUAGAGGUGAAAUUCGUAGAUAUUAGAAAGAAUACCAAUUGCGAAGGCAGCUUUCUGGAUCAUUACUGACACUGAGGAACGAAAGCAUGGGUAGCGAAGAGGAUUAGAUACCCUCGUAGUCCAUGCCGUAAACGAUGUGUGUUAGACGUUGGAAAUUUAUUUUCAGUGUCGCAGCGAAAGCGAUAAACACACCGCCUGGGGAGUACGACCGCAAGGUUAAAACUCAAAUGAAUUGACGGGGACCCGCACAAGUAGUGGAGCAUGUGGUUUAAUUCGAAGAUACGCGCAGAACCUUACCAACACUUGACAUGUUCGUCGCGACUUUGAGAGAUCAAAGUUUUCGGUUCGGCCGGACGAAACACAGGUGCUGCAUGGCUGUCGUCAGCUCGUGUCGUGAGAUGUUGGGUUAAGUCCCGCAACGAGCGCAACCCUCACUUUUAGUUGCCAUCAUUAAGUUGGGCACUCUGAAAGAACUGCCAGUGAUAAGCUGGAGGAAGGUGGGGAUGACGUCAAGUCCUCAUGGCCCUUACGUGUUGGGCUACACACGUGCUACAAUGGUAUCUACAACAGGAAGCAAGACUGCGAAGUUAAGCAAAUCCUUAAAAGAUACCUCAGUUCGGAUUGCACUCUGCAACUCGAGUGCAUGAAGCUGGAAUUACUAGUAAUCGUGGAUCAGCGUGCCACGGUGAAUGCGUUCCCGGGUCUUGUACACACCGCCCGUCACACCAUGGGAGUUGGUUCUACCUUAAGGCAAGGUUUCAAACCCUUGACCACGGUAUAGUCAGCGACUGGGGUGAAGUCGUAACAAGGUAGCCGUAGGGGAACCUGCGGCUG